UACAGAGGUCCCAAGCGUUGUUCGGAUUCACUGGGCGUAAAGGGUGCGUAGGCGGCGGGGUAAGUUCGGUGUGAAAUCUCCAGGCUCAACCUGGAAAUGGCAUUGAAUACUACUCUGCUUGAGGCUUGGAAGGGGGACUGGAAUGCUCGGUGUAGCAGUGAAAUGCGUAGAGAUCGAGCGGAACACCAGUGGCGAAGGCGAGUCCCUGGACAAGUCCUGACGCUGAGGCACGAAAGCUAGGGGAGCAAACAGG
rnacentral:rRNA from 1 species